UUUUUCCCUGCACGAGUCGAGUACCUCAAUUUUAUCCUGACUUACUCAUACCCCCUGCAGAUGUUGUUAUUUCCCCGACUGAGUCUUUUCAUGUUUGCAUGGAAUCCCUCUGGUCCCCCAGUAGUUUUAAGUCGUAGCCUGACCUACGCAUAACUUCUUUUCCCCCAGAGUCUCAGUCUCCCUAGUGAGUUUUCCUUACGGAAUGCAUUAUACUCCUGUGGAC
rnacentral:lncRNA from 1 species